rnacentral:tRNA from 1 species
UCUAAUAUGACAGACAAAUGUACUGAAUUUAAAAUUCAUAAAUAAAGAAUCUCUCUUUUAUUAGAA